GAGGACCCAGUAGGGCAAGGUAGGCCGGCGGCCCUACCUUGAUUUUUGCCUCAGUUACGGAUUGGGGAAGAUUAUGAAACGGGGAGCUAAAGGGCGGAAUCCGUUCGUGGUGUGAUGGGAGGAGAAACGGUCGGGAGCGAGAGAAUCGAAGGGGAGAUCAACCUGCGGUGGAGGCGCUCGCGCGAGGAGGAAGACGAUGGGCGCUCGGCAGCGUGAUGGGUGGCGGCGCUCGGCCGAGGAGGAAGAAGAUCC
rnacentral:lncRNA from 1 species